rnacentral:rRNA from 1 species
UACAGAGGGUGCGAGCGUUUAAUCGGAAUUACUGGGCGUAAAGCGUGCGUAGACGGUUUCGUAAGUCGGGUGUGAAAUCCCCGGGCUCAACCUGGGAAUUGCAUUCGAAACUGCGAGGCUAGGGUACGGAAGAGGGAAGCGGAAUUUCUGGUGUAGCGGUGAAAUGCGUAGAUAUCAGAAGGAACAUCAGUGGCGAAAGCGGCUUCCUGGUCCAGUACCGACGUCAGGCACGAAAGCGUGGGGAGCAAACAGG